rnacentral:rRNA from 1 species
UACGUAGGGUGCGAGCGUUAAUCGGAAUUACUGGGCGUAAAGCGUGCGUAGGCGGUUCGUUAAGUUCGUUGUGAAAGCCCCGGGCUCAACCUGGGAACGGCAAUGGAAACUGGCGGGCUUGAGUGUGGCAGAGGGGGGUGGAAUUCCGCGUGUAGCAGUGAAAUGCGUAGAGAUGCGGAGGAACACCGAUGGCGAAGGCAGCCCCCUGGGCCAACACUGACGCUCAGGCACGAAAGCGUGGGGAGCAAACAGG